UAUCCUUGCAGAGAUCUCAUUGUGAUGGUCA
rnacentral:piRNA from 1 species